rnacentral:lncRNA from 1 species
GUUCGUCCAGCGGAAAAAGGCCACAAAAACGGGUGGGCUAUAGCCUUGGGGGGUGGGGCUGGCCAACUUUGUCCGCCGGACUCGGAAUGGCGCGAGACUUUGCGAGGCACCUCCGUGUGCCAAAAAUAGGCCGCGGGCACAGCCGCGUCCAAAAAUAACCACCCGAAGGCCGGGGUGCCAAGUUCGUCCAGCAGAAAAAGCCCACAAAAACGGGUGGGCUGUAGCCUUAGGGGGUGGGGCUGGCCAACUUCGUCCGCCGGACUCGGAAUGGAGAGAGACCUUGCUAGGUGCCUCCGUGUGCCAAAAAUAGGCCGCAGGCACAGCAGUGCUCAAAAAUACCCGCCCGAAGGGCGGGGCGCCAAGUUCGUCUAGCGGAAAAAGGCCACAAAAACGGGUGGGCUAUAGCCUUGGGUGGUGGGGCUGGCCAACUUCGUCCGCCGGACUCGGAAUGGCGCGAGACUUUGCGAGGCACCUCCGUGCACCAAAAAUAGGAAAAGGACUAAGCCGCGCCCAAAAAUAACGCCCGAAGGUCGUGGCGCCAAGUUCGUCCAGCGGAAAAAGGCCACAAAAACGGGUGGGCUAUAUAGCCUUGGGGGGUGGGGCUGGCCCACUUCGUCCGCCGGACUCGGAAUGGGGCGAGGCGUUGCAAGGCACCUCCGUGUGCCAAAAAUAAGCCGCGGGCACAGCCGCGCCCAAAAGUAACCGCCCGAAGGCCGGGGCGCCAAGUUCGUCCAGCGGAAAAAGGCCACAAAAACUGGUGGGCUAUAGCUUUGGGGGGUGGGGCUGGCCCACUUCGUCCGCCGGACUCGGAAUGGGGCGAGGCGUUGCAAGGCACCUCCGUGUGCCAAAAAUAAGCCGCGGGCACAGCCGCGCCCACAAAUAACGCCCGAAGGUCGUGGCGCCAAGUUCGUCCAGCGGAAAAAGGCCACAAAAACGGGUGGGCUAUAGCCUUGGGGGGUGGGGCUGGCCAACUUUGUCCGCCGGACUCGGAAUGGCGCGAGACUUUGCGAGGCACCUCCGUGUGCCAAAAAUAGGCCGCGGGCACAGCCGCGUCCAAAAAUAACCACCCGAAGGCCGGGGUGCCAAGUUCGUCCA